UACGUAGGGGGGCAAGCGUUGUCCGGAAUUAUUGGGCGUAAAGAGCGUGUAGGCGGUCCGGUAAGUCGGCUGUGAAAGUCCGGGGCUCAACCCCUGGGGAUGCCGGUCGAUACUGCCGGACUAGAGUUCGGAAGAGGCGAGUGGAAUUCCCCGGUGUAGCGGUGGAAAUGCGCAGAUAUCGGGGAGGAACACCUAUGGCGAAGGCAGCUCGCUGGGACGUUACUGACGC
rnacentral:rRNA from 1 species